ensembl:lncRNA
CUUCCCUUGGUUAAACUAAAGGAAAGUGUGUUGUUGGAUACAGGCUGGCUACCUUCCAGAGAAAUCUAUCUGCGGGCAGGAUCUGGGACACACACAUGCCGGAACAACUUAAAAGCGGAUAAACCUAUGUUGGUCCGCCUGCCAUUGUUGGUGGAGGACCCUGGAGUCCCUGACGUGACACUUGAACAACCGCAACUUCCCCAUCUAUUGCCACGAGAAGACCAAUGUGUGGAGGAGUCAUCAAUCAGGUGGUCCAAUCAGAGGAGGGUAUCAGGGAUUUCAGACCUGAGGGGAUGGGUUGAGGCUCAAAUGCUAGCCCGCUUGGUCACCUAUGGCCUAUUGCUCAUUUAUGCCCGAUCAGUUAUAGAUAAGGUGUUGACGAUGGGAUAAACAGACUCAGUAAGAUUGUGUAUUUUACCACAGGUGGCAAUUAUUAC